ensembl:lncRNA
CAGUUUUUGGUCAGAGUGAUUUUCUUUGUUGGUCGCAGGUGAUUGGGCCCAGCCUGAAGGUCCCAUAGCUGUGGUGCAGCUUUCGGGUGGCUGUUAGUCUUAUCAUCACACACGUGCGCCUGCACACAAACGCACGCACGCACACACACACACACACAUAUACUCUCAGCGUCCCCUCUGACCCCGGCCGUUUCCUGCCCUUGGCUGAUCUAUUGGCUGAUGCCUGCCCUGUGACUGUAGAGGAAAAAGAGGAGGAGAGAAAGUGGCGCUUGUGGCCUGUCCCGGCGAAUCGAUAUCCGUCUCGUAUCCGUGAGCUGUGCCUGACCCCUGGCCGACCUUGCUCAGCAUUGGCAGUUGGAGUUCGUGGUUUUUUCUUUUUCUUUUUUUUCGGUGGGGUCUGAAAAUGCGGGAGGCACAUUGACUUUUACCCCGUCGCUAAUAAAGGUCUGGGGCUGCAGAAGAGUGUGAAAAGUCCUGAAUUAAAUGUGCUGGCCCGACGAGGCAGCAACGACGUGUCUGAAAAACACUGAAAUAACAGGAAAUAUUUGGUGUGGCUGCUGUUAAUUUCACAUUUGGUCAGCUUUUUAUAUUUUUAUAUGACCUUUCUUUAACUAGGAAAUCCCUGCAUUGUUAAAAGUAACAUCCUAGGGAUUAGUGAGAUGUGAUUAUUACAUGGAGACAAUGAAUAAUAUCUCAUUUUCAUGCAUGACGUGGAUGUUAAGGCUAGCCAAUGAAUCGUCCUUACCUCCAUGCCAUGGUCUCAAGAAUAAAAGAAAAAAUGUAGUAAAAAGUUUUCAGUUUUUAUUUAAAAUUUUAUGUGGAUGACUCUGUGGUGCUCCUGGCUGAGAUACUAAAAGCCUCUCGGAUUGUGCGAUUGUGUGUGUGCGUACGUGUGCAUGCCUAUAUGUGCAAGACCCACACAAAACUUGUCUUGACGUUAGUUUGCUCGUUGGACUCAGCCUUGCGUGCUGUUGGUGUGUGCUGAUAGAGGCUCCAGCUCCCGGGCUAAGCGGGGCUGUGGGUGCUAGCCGCCGUCGGCACUAAUUGAACCCUGCCGCUAAGGUAAGGGGGGGAGGAGGCUGUCAGUGAGAGAGAGAGAAAGAGAGAGCGUGAAAAGAAAAAAGAAGGAAGAAAAAAAAUAGCGAGGGCGAAGUGCCCCUGGGGGGUUGGGUCCCUGCCUGCCUGCCUGCCUGCCUGGCUGCCUUUCGUUCUCCAGCUCCUUCCCCCCUCCCCGUCUAAAUAGCCGUGCCGGCGCUCCAGGGCUUCCUGUGCCUUAUCUGCUGAUAAUUGGGCACUGGAGCUCCACAGCUCGCUUAUGAAAUAUAGAUUCCUGACGGAGGGGAAGGAUUGGGGGGUAGAAGAGGAGGUAAGGUGGUGGAGAGAGUGUGCAGGCAGAGAAAAGCCCCUGGACGUAUCAGAGAGUGUGGAGCCUUGUGGGCUCCGCUGUGUUGCUCUGGCUCAUUUAGCAAACACAGCCCCAAUAGUUAGGGCGAAGGCCUCUGUGCUGAGCAGCCCACACUGUCACAGACAAUUGAAAGACAAUGCUUUGUUCCUAUUGUUCGUUGCACCCGCAGGGUUCAAAGAGCUAUAAAUUGCGGGGGUGAAUUACUUUUUCUUUUUUUCUUUUUUUGGUGUGUGUAGUUUGUCGCGGAGCAUGUGAAAUCUUCUAAGCAAUUUCAAACGUGUUGCAGAGAAUUGGCCGAUACGUAGCGCAGUGCUUGGUGUUUCACUGAAUGUCUGCUGGAAAUGGUUUGAAUGAGUAGCCUGCCCAACUGCAGUUGCCAUUUAACCAUGUCCUGAUGAGGGUAUGUUAUGAAACGCUAUGUGUGCGAAUGGGAAAGGAUGUUAUUUUCCUGCAGUGUAAUCGGGAUGCCAUCUGCAGUCUCAUGGGGGAAUGUUAUUAGAUCACAACAUGGAGAUCAAAUCCCAGAGAGAGAGAAAGGAGGGAAUACUCUGCUGGGUGCUCGGCACAACAUCCCAUUUAUCCAAGGCUGGUUUUGCUUUAGGCUUUGAGCAAGGUUGUUCAUUUGGGGUUUCAUUUUCUAUGUGUUAUCUAAUCUUUUUUUUUUUUUGGUGAAAUAUUUUGCUACCUCAAUAGAAAAACAAAAUUUCUUCUAGUAAAAAGGCAUUUUAAUGUGGCAGAUGAGGUGAGUAGUAGUGUUUUUUACAUUUCAUUAGUGAAGUGGUUAACACAUUAGCCUAACAUGUGAAAAAUCCCUAGUUUCAGAUUGAUAGGAAGCACAAAUGCCUGGGAGGGUUGCGUCAGAAAGAACAUCCAGCAUAAAAGUCUGCCAAAUCAAAU